rnacentral:rRNA from 1 species
UACGUAGGGUGCAAGCGUUAAUCGGAAUUACUGGGCGUAAAGCGUGCGCAGGCGGUUAUGUAAGACAGGUGUGAAAUCCCCGGGCUUAACCUGGGAACUGCAUUUGUGACUGCAUAGCUAGAGUACGGUAGAGGGGGAUGGAAUUCCGCGUGUAGCAGUGAAGUGCGUAGAUAUGCGGAGGAACACCGAUGGCGAAGGCAAUCCCCUGGACCUGUACUGACGCUCAUGCACGAAAGCGUGGGGAGCAAACAGG